CUACGCUGCGAUAAGCCGUGGGGAGCUGCGAAGAAGCUUUGAUCCACGGAUCUCCGAAUGGGGAAACCCACCUUCGAUAGCCGGAACUCCAAGACCUUGUGUUUUGGGGUUCGACCAGAAAUGGAAGAAAUCAGACCGCGAGGUUUUGGAUUUCCGGUUAUCAAGAGAAGGUAUGAGACUUCCGAAUAAAAUAGGAGGUUUUAAGCAAACCCAGGGAACUGAAACAUCUAAGUACCUGGAGGAAAGGACAUCAAUCGAGACUCCGUUAGUAGUGGCGAGCGAACGCGGACCAGGCCAGUGAUACAUCAAAGACAAUCGGAACCUGUCAGGAAAGCAGGGCCUCAGAGGGUGAUAGCCCCGUACGAGUAAUGCGAUGAUGUAUCCACGAGUAAGGCGGGACACGUGUAAUCCUGUCUGAACACGGGGGGACCACCCUCCAAGCCUAAGUACUCCUCAGCGACCGAUAGU
rnacentral:rRNA from 1 species